AGAUGGUAGUGUUUCCAAACCACCGCUCUUGGUCAUUUACUGAAAAGUCAAUAAUAGGAUUGCUUGGAAAAGAAGGAGGCGAGAAAGAACAUGCAUGGAUUUUUAAAUUUAUGAAGAUAAACUACUCAGAGUCUGACCUGAUACAGAAUCACGCAAUGGGAUUGAUUCUCUACAUUUGUCCAAUAAUAGCUUUGAUAGGAGCAGGAUGUUUCUGUGUAACGGCAAAAUACUUUGAAUAUUAUAAGAAAAAUGUAGAAGACUUUAUGUAUAUACCGUUCACAGAUGUAGAACAACCCUUGGAUACGGUGGAAUCAUCUGAUACAAAGUAACAUGAUAGAUGAAGUUGGAAAAAGACCUCGCUGUGAUGCUUCUGAAAUGUUCUGUGAUUAUAAUAAAAUGAAAAGUUCUGUAAUAUUGCUUAAAAUACAA